UCAGGGUGAUAGUAGAUGGAUUAAACAAUGUUUUACACAAAAUCCACGUUUGCAACCAUCUUGAGGUGAUGAGCUUAAUGCUGAACUAUGGGGCUAAUGUCAAUAUACAAAAUGAUGAAGGUCAUAGUCCACUAUGUCUGGCCAUUAUUAUGAACUAUAUAAAUCUGGUUAAGCCGUUACUUGAAGCUGCAAGAGACAGUGUUAAGGUAUGCAUGAGAAACACUGAUGACACUCAGGCAGGAAUAUUCCAGGUA